AAUCAACGCUGGCGGCGUGCCUCAGACAUGCAAGUCGAACGCGAAAGUCCCCUUCGGGGGAUGAGUAGAGUGGCGCACGGGUGAGUAACACGUAGGUAAUCUACCUUCGGGUGGGGAAUAACAACCGGAAACGGUUGCUAAUACCGCAUAAUGCAGCGGCACCUAAUGGUGACAGUUGUUAAAGCGGGGGAUCGCAAGACCUCGCGCCUGAAGAGGAGCCUGCGGCGGAUUAGCUAGUUGGCAGGGUAACGGCCUACCAAGGCGACGAUCCGUAGCCGGCCUGAGAGGGCGGUCGGCCACACUGACACUGACAUACGGGUCAGACUCCUACGGGAGGCAGCAGUCGGGAAUUUUGGGCAAUGGGCGAAAGCCUGACCCAGCAACGCCGCGUGAAGGAUGAAAUCCCUCGGGAUGUAAACUUCGCUAGAACGGGGAGAAUAAGCCGGUGUCAACACCACCGGCGAUGACGGUACCGUUUGUAAGCUCCGGCUAACUCCGUGCCAGCAGCCGCGGUAAUAC
rnacentral:rRNA from 1 species